GCCGCGGUAAAACCAGCACCUCAAGUGGUCAGGAGGAUUAUUGGGCCUAAAGCAUCCGUAGCCUGUUCUAUAAGUUUGCGGUUAAAUCUAUACGCUCAACGUAUAGGCUGCCGUAAAUACUGUAGAACUAGGGAGUGGGAGAGGUAGACGGUACUCGAUAGGAAGGGGUAAAAUCCUUUGAUCUAUUGAUGACCACCUGUGGCGAAGGCGGUCUACCAGAACACGUUCGACGGUGAGGGAUGAAAGCUGGGGGAGCAAACCGGAUUAGAUACCCGGGUAGUCCCAGCUGUAAACGAUGCAGACUCGAUGAUGCAAUGGCAUAGAGCUAUUGCAGUAUCGCAGGGAAGCCGUUAAGUUUGCCGCCUGGGAAGUACGUACGCAAGUAUGAAACUUAAAGGAAUUGGCGGGGGAGCACGGUCAUACUUGUUUUCCUGA
rnacentral:rRNA from 1 species